AAGAUGCAGAUGAUGGAGGACAGGGCGAUGCUGGAGAACAUCAUCAGGACCGAGAGGAAGCAGCGCGAGGAGGAGU
rnacentral:SRP_RNA from 1 species